ACAACAUUCGACCAUCGGUCUACCGAGAAAUAUCACCCGCUCGGUGGAAGAUCUUCCUUCUCCGUCGU
rnacentral:pre_miRNA from 1 species